CCAGGCUCCCAGGCUCCAAGACCAAGACGCACACCAGCACCGAGGCUCUGCUGACCCACCGCUUGUCUCUAAUUCUUGCCUGACACAGACAUUCCCUGCCCAGGGAAGUGUUUGAUUUAUGUUGAGGUUCGAGUGUCGGGAUUUUGCUGACAGGAGAAUCAGAUGCCUGGCAGACUAAGAAAUUGUGGAAUAAUUGCUGUGAGCUGCCCCUGUAAAGAACAAGGUGGGCACACUGAGGCCCAGAGAAGUAAAGUGAUUUGCUCAAGGUGACCGGUGGAGCUGGGACUUGCACCUGGGCUGGAAUCACCCCAGAACAUCUGGCAGCCACAACUUCGUGGACAAACUUGCUGGAAGCCUUGUUGGGGAAGCUCUGCCCCGAUGGUGAUGAGACCCAGAUCUGCCCAUCUUUUGUGACAUCUCAGACUCUUUUCUGGAAGGCCCACCUGGUCAUCUGGUCCCAACAGCUGGGACAGCUGUGGCACAGCGAGUGCAGGUGACUUGUCUGAGCCGGGCCAGGAAAGGGCAGAGCUCAGCCUCUCCUCUGUGGGAAACAGGCAGUUCUAGCAGUAGGGACGGUGAUGGGGGACUCGGUUUCCUAGUCACUGUCAUGUCCAAUGGCCAGUAACCGUGAACUCUUUCCUCCUUUUCCUUCCACCCAGCAAAUGUAGCAUCCAGAUGCAGCCAGUUGUGAGGAGAAUAUUUCCAUAGAAAUUCUGCAGUAUGGAUAUCCUCUCUAGGCCCCAGUCCAGCCUGAGCCAGCUCCGCUUCUGGCUGGGAAGUUUCUUUCCGCUCAAGCCCACUCCCUUCCCCCUUUUUCUCCUACUUUCCUCAGGAAGUAGCUCUCUCUUCUUCGCAGCGCCUGGCUCUACCCUGCUCUGGCUCAACCUUCCCGGGCAGUUUACUCCAUUACCUCUGCUGGACCCCAAUCACUUAUGAAUUCUCUAAAGUCACGUCAGGGAAUCCCACAGAUGCGUCCUGGACAACACAGGAAUGCCCAAGUUGUUCCAGGCAGAAAAAGUUCUGGGAUCAAACAGCUUGGGCAAAGCUGCACACCAGACCCUCUUCUUAAAAAUGAACAAUCAUGGGCGCCUGGGUGACUCAGUUAGUUAAGCAACUGCCUUCGGCUCAGGUCAUGAUCCCAGAGUCUUGGGAUUGAGUCCCACGUCGGGCUCAGUGGGGAGCCUGCUUCUCCCUCUGACCUUCUCCCCUCUCAUGCUGUUUCUCUCUCUCUCUCUCUCUCUCAAAUAAAUAAAUAAAUAAAAAUCUUUAAAAAAAAAAAGAACAAUCACAGUCAAGUCUCUGAAAAGUCCAGCAGUCAGGAGACUUGUUUUUUGUUGUUGUUGUUUGGGUUUUUUUGCUUUUUCAACCCAGGGUUUCCCAAACCGAGGUGUCCACAUAAUCAUCUUCCCUGUCCCUGCUUCAUACCUGUGAUGACAGGAGAACCAGUGAUCCACAGUGGAACACACUUUGGGAAAUUCUACCUCCAGCCUUCCAUCCAAGUUUGCAGUUAAUCUUGCUUUCAUUGAUUUAAGCCUUUCCUGUUUCUUGGGGCUAAUCUCACAAAAUAAUCUAAGGUGAUUCCUGCCCAGUAGGGUCUUCAAGAAACAUAUACUUGAUGGGGAUGAAGAUUUUCUUAAGACUUGAUGAUGGGGGCGCCUGGGUGGCUCAGUCGUUAAGCGUCUGCCUUCGGCUUGGGUCAUGAUCCCAGAGUCCUGGGAUCGAGCCCCGCAUCGGGCUCCCUGCUCGGCGGGAAGCCUGCUUCUCCCUCUCCCACUCCCCCUGCUUGUGUUCCCUCUCUCGCUGUCUCUCUAUCAAAUAAAUAAAUAAAAUCUUUAAAAAAAAAAAAAAAGACUUGAUGAUGAUGCCCAGGACAGAGCAAAGAUUUUCUAGAUCGUGGAAGGAGAGGGAGUAGAAUUUGAAACAACAGCAGACAGUGUUUACCAAAUUUUUGUUUCAUAACCAGAGGACCAAAGCCAGGAAUGGAGAAUAAUCAAACCAGACCUUGGUCACAGAUAAAUUGUUUUUGAGUGAAUGAAUGAACAGACUUCCUGACUGGUCAAAAGGUCGGGAGACUGUGAAUGAAUGCUGCAUGCACGCAUGAAUGAAUGGAUGAAUGAAUGAAUGAAGAUCGAAAAACUGGUCCGCAGAUUAGAACCUGUCACCCAUGUUCAGUGGAAGAAGCCAGACA